rnacentral:rRNA from 1 species
GACGAACGCUGGCGGCGUGCUUAACACAUGCAAGUCGAACGGUAAGGCCCUUCGGGGUACACGAGUGGCGAACGGGUGAGUAACACGUGGGUGAUCUGCCCUGCACUUUGGGAUAAGCCUGGGAAACUGGGUCUAAUACCGAAUACACCCUGCUGGCUGCAUGGCCUGGUGGGGGAAAGCUUUUGCGGUGUGGGAUGGGCCCGCGGCCUAUCAGCUUGUUGGUGGGGUGAUGGCCUACCAAGGCGACGACGGGUAGGCGGCCUGAGAGGGUGACCGGCCACACUGGGACUGAGAUACGGCCCAGACUCCUACGGGAGGCAGCAGUGGGGAAUAUUGCACAAUGGGCGCAAGCCUGAUGCAGCGACGCCGCGUGGGGGAUGACGGCCUUCGGGUUGUAAACCUCUUUCAGUAGGGACGAAGCGCAAGUGACGGUACCUACAGAAGAAGGACCGGCCAACUACGUGCCAGCAGCCGCCGUAC